UACGUAGGGGGCAAGCGUUGUCCGGAUUUAUUGGGCGUAAAGAGCUCGUAGGCGGUCUGUCGCGUCGGCUGUGAAAACUCGGGCUCAACUCCGAGCCUGCAGUCGAUACGGGCAGACUAGAGUGCUGUAGGGAGACUGGAAUUCCUGGUGUAGCGGUGAAAUGCGCAGAUAUCAGGAGGAACACCGGUGGCGAAGGCGGUCUCUGGCAGUGAACUGACGCUGAGGAGCGAAAGCGUGGGAGCGAACAGG
rnacentral:rRNA from 1 species